ensembl:rRNA 5S_rRNA 5S ribosomal RNA
GUCCACAGCCAUGCUAUCUUGAACAAGUCAGAUACCGUCUGAUUUCGGAAGCUGAGCAGGGUUGGGCCUGGUUAGUACUUGGAUGGGAGACCACCUCGGAAGACCAGGUGGUGUAGGUG